GAAUGGGGCAAGCGUUGUCGGAAUCACUGGGCUUAAAGCGUGCGCAGGCGGUCUUGCAAGUCAGGAGUGAAAUCCCGGGGCUUAACCCCGGAAUUGCUUUUGAAACCACGAGACUAGAAUAUGGGAGAGGUUAGCAGAAUUCCGAGUGUAGAGGUGAAAUUCGCAGAUAUUCGGAGGAAUACCAGUGGCGAAGGCGGCUAACUGGACCAUUAUUGACGCUCAGGCACGAAAGCGUGGGGAGCAAACAGGAUUAGAUACCCUGGUAGUCCACGCCAUAAACGAUGUGUGCUAGUUGUCGGACCCGUCAGGGUCCGGUAACAAAGCGAAAGCAUUAAGCACACCGCCUGGGGAGUACGGUCGCAAGAUUA
rnacentral:rRNA from 1 species